UACAGAGGGUGCGAGCGUUGUCCGGAUUUACUGGGCGUAAAGAGCGCGCAGGCGGUCAGAUAAGUCGAAUGUGAAAGCCCCCGGCUCAACUGGGGAGGGUCAUUCGAUACUGUUCGACUCGAAGGCAGGAGAGGGAAGUGGAAUUCCCGGUGUAGUGGUGAAAUGCGUGGAUAUCGGGAGGAACACCAGUGGCGAAGGCGGCUCUCUGGGACGUGACUGACGCUGAGACGCGAAAGCGUGGGAGCGAACGAGG
rnacentral:rRNA from 1 species